GUCAUGAACAGCAUACCCAACACCAAAGCCAUCAGAGACCACAGGGGCAAAGCCCCCAAGGUUCACUGCUGGGCUGCUCAGCGUGCUCGUGGACAGGACAUUGUGGUUUAUCUGCCCGUAUGCAGGGUCCAGGUAGAGCUCAGGCAAGAUGAUCCCUUUGGCUGCUGCCAGAUGCCGCAGAGCAAACAAGUGUCGGUCAAAGCCCUGGCCUGUGAGAAACAAAAUGGAAAACCAGAGUCUCAGGAUGGAAAAGGACCUCAGGAAAACCUCCCAACUCACCACAUGGACCAGGAGGUGUCUGGCCUUGUCAUCAGUGAAGAGUUCAUCCCGACUGGGUUUGGGUAAACGAGUUGAGUUGAAAAGCCGAAAAUACUGGGACAUAUCCAGGGGAUACGCAUUGACCAGGUAGGCCCCAUACCAGGACAGAGAGGAAGGCACAAAGCGUAUGAGUCUCUUGAAGGUGAUAGUGUCACUUUUUGCAGGGUUCAAGUGGAACACUUCUGGCUCCAGAAGGCCAGCCCGGAGUGUCUUCAGAAACCGGAUGGCAGAAACAGUCAUGUUGGUUGCCCGGGUGAGCUGGUCAUUAUACUCAGAUUUUGGGUCAGGAUUGAAAGCCAUAAAUGGAUUAAAGUUCAGAACAACGGAGUCUCGAGCAGAUAGGUACAUAUCAAACCAGGGUCCUAAAAAAUAAAAAGAAAAAAAUAACAUAAAAUGAUAAUGCUGUCCCUAAAAAUAAAAUUUGAAGAAGAAAAAAAAUUCAAGCAUAGGCAAAGGAAAUGGCAUCAACCUCCAGAGAGAAGAAUUCCCUGAAUGUUUUUGCUCUGCAAUAAUUCAAGACAUACAAAUGGGGUCAUACAAUAUAUGGUGUUUUGCAUCUAGCUUCUAUCACUUACAAUAAUGUUUUUGUUUUGU
rnacentral:antisense_RNA from 1 species